ACGAACGCUGGCGGCAUGCCUAACACAUGCAAGUCGAACGAGACCUUCGGGUCUAGUGGCGCACGGGUGCGUAACGCGUGGGAAUCUACCUCAGGGUGUGGAAUAACACCGGGAAACCGGUGCUAAUACCGCAUAAUGUCUUCGGACCAAAGGUUUACCGCCUUGAGAGGAGCCCGCGUAAGAUUAGCUAGUUGGUGGGGUAAUGGCCUACCAAGGCGAUGAUCUUUAGCUGGUUUGAGAGGAUGAUCAGCCACACUGGGACUGCGAUACGGCCCAGACUCCUACGGGAGGCAGCAGUUUGGAAUCUUGGACAAUGGGGGCAACCCUGAUCCAGCGACGCCUCGUGUGUGAUGAAGGCCUUCGGGUUGUAAAGCACUUUUGUCUGUGAAGAUAAUGACGGUAACAGACGAAUAAGCCCCGGCUAACUUCGU
rnacentral:rRNA from 1 species